GACGAACGCUGGCGGCGUGCUUAACACAUGCAAGUCGAGCGGUAAGGCCCUUUCGGGGGGUACACGAGCGGCGAACGGGUGAGCAACACGUGGGUGACCUGCCCUCAGCUCUGGGGAUAAGCCUGGGAAACCGGGUCUAAUACUGGAUAUGACUCCAUGACGCAUGUUGUGGGGUGGAAAGCCUUGUGCGGCUGAGGAUGGGGCCCGCGGCCUAUCAGCUUGUUGGUGGGGGAUGGCCUACCAAGGCGACGACGGGUAGCCGGCCUGAGAGGGCGACCGGCCACACUGGGACUGAGACACGGCCCAGACUCCUACGGGAGGCAGCAGUGGGGAAUCUUGCGCAAUGGGCGAAAGCCUGACGCAGCGACGCCGCGUGA
rnacentral:rRNA from 1 species